UUCCUGUUAUUUUCAAUUUGUCUAUUUAUUCAUGCCUUUCCCAUUAUAUCAAGUUAUAAAAUAAUUGGGUGAUUGGUGGGGCAAUCUUUUGUAAAAAGCAAGAGAGUUAUAUGAUCUGAAGAGAAACCAGAGUAUUGGUAGGGCAACCUUGUGAUUUUAAUUAGUGCUGCAUUGAUGAUGAUACUGCGGAAACUGGAACACUAUUCCUUUUGGGUUUACUUAUUUAUUUUCAUGGUACGUACCUCCACUUAUUUCAGAUUUUUAAAUUUUCUGCUUCUAAUAUCCUGCAAAUCACCAGGAUAUUCUUCCAACCAGCACCGAAAGUACCUCACCUGAGGUACCAAAAGUAUCCGACAGCUUCUUAGAUGGAGGAAGAUCUAUGCUUGCUCCUUAUGCAUCGGAGGUUAUUUUACAAGAAGAGCCACAUCACCACCCCUAGUGGUCAAAGGGGCAAAUUCCUCAGCCGACCUCUGAUCCCUCCCUGCCUUCACCUGCCAGGAGCUUCGGAGGCCACAUUAGAAGUUGCCAUCAGCGUGAGACCCUGUUCCAGGAACUGACGAUACCAAAACACAGUUGUGGCUUGAAGGUCCACCGAAUGGCACUGGAUCGUCACAGAGGUUCCACUCUUACAGACAGCUGUCCUCGGAUUCUGAGAGACGAGAGCACCAAGCCCAGAACCUGCUGACACACAGGUCAAAGAGGUGAAGGAGGCCUGUACCACAGGCGGAAAACUCACGGCACCCAGAGAUUCCUGCUGUUCUGUGAAAUCUUCCUGUUAGACCCCCUAGGACCAUAAUCCCCCACCUCCCCUGCCUGGUGACUUCUCACCUUACCCUUCAUACCUCCAGAGAGCAAGAAUGUCCCCCCUCAUUUUGAUCCGCAUAAAAUAAUCCACAACCUCUGCCUACUGCUCCACUCAUGCCAUUACACACACACACACACACACACACACACACACACACACACACACUUGCCCCAACUACUCAGAUUGUAAGGCUCAUACUGGGCCCCAGGAGCAGCAGAAGCAUGAGCAUCUUCAGAUACUGGCCUCAUAUCACACCUCUCUCACUGUAUCUCAUUCUCCCUUUCUCCACCCCUAGAAGGAUGGACCACUGCUUACAUAUUCCUGAAGAUGCUCCAAUCUGCCCUCUCGUGGUGAUGUUUUUUUCCAGUGAUGCAGGAUCCAUCAAAGAGCUGAAAGGGGCCUCAGAUGUUCUAAUUCUACUCCUAACUUUAUAGAACAUGCGCUAAGACCCAGAUCAUUGAAUUGACUUAAAGAAGUUUCUUAGCUUUACUCAUGAAAAAAGCUGUAUGUGCAUUAAAAGGAAUUAUCGCCUCUUCUUUACUUCUGUAACAUAUCCUCAAAGUAAGUCAGACAACUGAUGAUUGUUAGUCACUAACAAUCGUGGUGAUAAACAAUCAUGAGUGAGCAUCAGAAAUUCUAGGCUGUAAGUUCAAUGUUUCUUCAUACUGAUGAUAAAGACAAUUUCUCAUCUUCUAAAUGAAGCAUUUAUUUCACGACUAUCUCAUGCCGGUCGCCGUCAUAUGGAUGGUCUUAAUACUAAACAUAGCUAUUUAUCGUGGUUUGCACAUCUCUGUGUAAAUCACUGUGGAGGCUACGAGGAUAAUUUGUUUACAGCUAUUUCCCCAUGAUACAGGUCAUAGGCUAAGUACUGGCCAGUGGAAAUAGGUUGUAGGAGAUUUAGGGAAUUAUUUCUGCUUUGAACAUGCUGGAAUAUUUAUUUAAAUGGCUCGUGCUUAGAAAUGUAUAGCAAUUUCAAAGAAACUGAAGAUUUUUCUCCAAAACAUUAUACUUUUAUUCUUAUAAUAACCUCCCAGUUUUGCUUCAUGAAUAUUUAGUUCUGUAUAUCUGGAGUGAGUAACUAAGGAAGGUGGGAUUAGGACUUGAUCCAACAAAUUAUGUUUGUAGCAUAGUGACAUAGAUUUUUAUCAUAGUGAAUAUAACAUUGUGUACUAAAGAUUACUAUGUGCAAAAUACUGAUGUAUGUAUUGAAGGGCAUCUGACAUGCUCUUGUGGCUGUAUUUUUUUCAUGGUGGGGGCAGACCGCAUUACGAUGAGGCCGCUUCUCACCAUAACUGUACUUUUUCUGCAAAGAGUAGGUGAAUGUGCCUUGUAAUGUAUUACGUCUGCACAACAUUAUGAUGUAUAAGGGAUGAAGUGUCUGGAGGCCCCUGGAUCAGAAGAAACUCUUUCUACUCUUCUUGAGGACCAGCAGCCAUCAGAUACAAAAAGAUAUAGACGUAAUUUGAAAAACCAACUUAGUGGGUCACUGAGGUGUCUUGUCAUUCCGCGAAGCACGUUGAUGGCAGCAGCUCCUUUGAGCGUCUGGUGAA